CCUACGGGCGGCAGCAGUGAGGAAUAUUGGUCAAUGGACGAGAGUCUGAACCAGCCAAGUAGCGUGAAGGAUGACUGCCCUAUGGGUUUUAAACUUCUUUUAUAUGGGAAUAAAAUGUUCCACGUGUGGGAGUUUGUGUGUGCCAUAUGAAUAAGGAUGGGCUAACUCCGUUCCAGCAGCCGCGGUAAUACGGAGGAUCCGAGCGUGAUUCGGAUUUAUUGGGUUUAAUGGGAGCGUAGGUGGAUUGUUAAGUCAGUUGUGAAAGUUUGCGGCUCAACCGUAAAGUUGCAGUUGAAACUGGCAGGCUUGAGUACAGUAGAGGUGAGCGGAAUUCGUGGUGUAGCGGUGAAAUGCUUAGAUAUCACGAAGAACUCCGAUUGCGAAGGCAGCUCACUGGACUGCAACUGACACUGAGGCUCGAAAGUGUGGGUAUCAAACAGGAUUAGAUACCCGAGUAGUC
rnacentral:rRNA from 1 species